ensembl:snoRNA
ACCCAAAAUUCUCCAAAGCAUGAUGAUUGGGUUUUCAUACUAAUGUGUGAAAUGUGCCUCCCUCAAGCCUUGUUACGACAAAUAAAAUUCUCCCCAGGUGAUU